AAAGUAAAAAAAAAUUUCCCCCCAAUUCCAAAUCAAAAAAAUUCAAGCCCUAAUUUUCUCCCUUCUUCUAAUUCCGCACAAAUCCGGGCUCGUGUUGACUUAUAAUCCAUGCUAGUUAACUGCUCUUAAUGAGAGCAAUCAAUUAGCAUUGGUUUUAGUUCAUUCCGUAGAUGCUGGAUUUUGGCCGAGUUAAUCAGAUUCUGGUCAAUUGUUCACUUCCAUUGAUAUGUUUCAUGCUGUCAAGAUAUUCCCGCAUGUUUGGUAUUUUCCCCUCCCUUUUCUACUGAUAUUAUACAUUAUCAUAUUUUCUGCCUUCAUUUAUGUAUUGUUAUUUGUUUUAGUUUUCUUCUCUAGUGGCCAGGUUCAUUAUUAAUUGACAGUUAGAAUUAGUUCGAGCUUGAAAUUAGAAUCGUUUAUUUUGUUUUCUAUUUUUUCUUGAUUUGUUUCUUUGAAUCAAUUCUGAUUGGUCAAGUUCUCAUAUUAACUAUGGUCAUAGCUGACUUAGUUAAGAGAUUAGUUCAGUUGGAUCUUGGUUUAUUCUAACCCAGGUUAAUAGUUGAAGAGUAAAUAAUGGAGGUUAAAAAGGGUAAGUUAGGAAUUUUGAUUGAGAGAAUCUCUUGUAACAGAUUUGAAAAUUUUCUGGAAGAUGGG
rnacentral:lncRNA from 1 species